AUAUUUCACAAUGGAGGAAACUCUGAUGCAGCGACGCCGCGUGAGUGAAGAAGGUCUUCGGAUCGUCACACUCUGUCCUUGGUGACGCUAAUGACGGUAGCCAAGGAGGAAGCCCCGGCUAACUACGUGCCAGAAGCCGCGGUAAUACGUAGGGGGCUAGCGUUGUCCGGAUUUACUGGGCGUAAAGGGUGAGUAGGCGGUUGCAUAAGUCAGGUGUAAAAGGCUAAGGCUUAACCAUAGUAUGCAUUUGAAACUGUGUGACUUGAGUACAGGAGAGGUAAGCGGAAUUCCUAGUGUAGCGGUGAAAUGAGUAGAUAUUAGGAGGAACACCAGUGGCGAAGGCGGCUUACUGGACUGUAGCUGACGCUGAGUCACGAAAGCGUGGGUAGCAAACA
rnacentral:rRNA from 1 species